GCAUGUUGAUCCUGCCAGUAGUCAUAUGCUUGUCUCAAAGAUUAAGCCAUGCAUGUGUAAGUAUGAACAAAUUCAGACUGUGAAACUGCGAAUGGCUCAUUAAAUCAGUUAUAGUUUGUUUGAUGGUAUUUCUACUCAGAUAACCAUAGUAAUUCUAGAGCUAACACGUGCGACAAACCCCAACUUCUAGAAGGGAUGCACUUAUUAGAUAAAAGGUCGACGCGGGCUUUUCCCAUUGCUCUGAUGAUUCAUGAUAACUCGACCGGUCGCACGGCCUUUGUGCCGGCACGCAUCAUUCAAAUUUCUACCCUAUCAACUUUCAAUGGUAGGAUAGUGGCCUACUAUGGUGGUGACGAUUAGCAGAGAAUUAGGGUUUGAUUUCGGAAAGGGAGCUUGAGAUACGGCUACCACAUCCAAGGAAGGUAGCAGGCACGCAAAUUACCCAAUCUUAGCACGGGUAGGUAGUGACAAUAAAUACCAAUAUCGGGCUCUAUGAGUCUGGUAAUUGAAUGAGUACAAUCUAAAUCUCUUAAUAAGCAUCCAUUGGAGGGUAAGUCUGGUGCCAGCAUCCGGGGUAAUUUCAGCUCCAGUAGUGUAUAUUUAAGCUGUUGCAUUUAAAAAGCUUGCAGUCAGACUUAGGGGUGGGUCGGCUGGUCUGCCUCAUAGGGUGUACCGGUCUGCUCAUCCUACUGCUGUGCUCCUAGCCUUAAUUGGUCGGUCAUUCCUCCGGCACUAUUACUUUGAAGAAAUUAAAGUGCUCAAAGCAGGUCUACGCUUGUAUACAUUAGCAUGGGAUAACAUCAUAGGAUUUUAAUACUAUUGUUUUGGCCUUCGGUAUGUAAUGAUUAAUAGGGAUAGUUAGGUGCAUUCGUAUUUCAUAGUUAGAGGUGAAAUUCUUGGAUUUAUGAAAGAUGAACAACUACGAAAGCAUUUGCCAAGGAUGUUUCCAUUAGUCAAGAACAAAAGCUAGGGGCUCAAAGAAAAUCAGAUAUCGUCCUAGUCUCAACCAUAAAUGAUGCCAACCAAGGAUCGUCGGAUGUUUCUUUUAGGACUCCACCAGUACCUUAUGAUAAAUCAAAGUCUUUGGGUUAUGGGGGGAGACUGGUCGUAGGGCUGAAACUUAAAGGAAUUGACAGAAGGGCACCACCAGGAGUGGAGCCUGAGGCUUAAUUUGACUCAACACGGGGAAACUUACUAGGUCCAAAGAUAGUGAGGAUUGACAGACUGAGAGCUCUUUCUUGAUUCUAUGUGUGGUGGUGCAUGGCCAUUCUUAGUUGGUAGAGCAAUUUGUCUAGUUAAUUCUGUUAACGAACGAGACUUCAGCCUGCUAACUAGCUACACGGAGGUGAUCCUCCGUGGCUAGCUUCUUAGUGGGACUAUGGCCUUUUCGGCCAAGGAAGUUUGAGACAAUAAAUGGUCUGUGAUGCCUUUAGAUGUUCUGGGCCGCACGCGCGCUACAUUGAUGUAUUCAAUGAGUCUAUAGCCUUAGCGGACAGGCUCUAGUAAUCUUUGAAAUUCAUCGUGAUGGGAUAGAUCAUUGCAAUUGUUGGUUUUCAACGAGGAAUUCUUAGUAAGCACAAGUCAUCAGCUCGCGUUGACUAUGUCCCUGCCCUUAUGCACACCGCCCGUCGUUCCUACAGAUUGAAUGGUCCGGUGAAGUGUUCGGAUCGCGGCGACAUGGGCGGUUCACUACCCGCGACGUCAUAAGAAGUCCACUGAACCUUAUCAUUUAGAGGAAGGAGAAGUCGUAACAAGGUUUCCGUAGGUGAACCUGCGGAAG
rnacentral:rRNA from 1 species